UGUUUCUCGGGUGGCGAGCGGCGGACGGGUGAGUAAUGCCUGGGAAAUUGCCCUGAUGUGGGGGAUAACCAUUGGAAACGAUGGCUAAUACCGCAUGAUGCCUACGGGUCAAAGAGGGGGACCUUCGGGCCUCUCGCGUCCGGAUAUGCCCAGGUGGGAUUAGCUAGUUGGUGAGGUAAGGGCUCACCAAGGCGACGAUCCCUAGCUGGUCUGAGAGGAUGAUCAGCCACACUGGAACUGAGACACGGUCCAGACUCCUACGGGAGGCAGCAGUGGGGAAUAUUGCACAAUGGGCGCAAGCCUGAUGCAGCCAUGCCGCGUGUGUGAAGAAGGCCUUCGGGUUGUAAAGCACUUUCAGUUGUGAGGAAGGUGGUGUCGUUAAUAGCGGCAUCAUUUGACGUUAGCUACAGAAGAAGCACCGGCUAACUCCGU
rnacentral:rRNA from 1 species